rnacentral:hammerhead_ribozyme from 1 species
AUCCGGCUGACGAGUCCCAAAUAAGAUGAAACGCGCAUUCUGGAU